CCUACGGGUGGCAGCAGUGAGGAAUAUUGGUCAAUGGUCGGGAGACUGAACCAGCCAAGCCGCGUGAGGGAUGAAGGUACAGAGUAUCGUAAACCUCUUUUGUCAGGGAACAAAGGCGGGGACGUGUCCCCGGAUGAGUGUACCUGAAGAAAAAGCAUCGGCUAACUCCGUGCCAGCAGCCGCGGUAAUACGGAGGAUGCGGGCGUUAUCCGGAUUUAUUGGGUUUAAAGGGUGCGCAGGCGGUCUGUUAAGCGUGCGGUCAAAGGCCGGGGCUCAACCCUGAGACCGCGGUUGAAACUGGAAGUCUCGAGUUGGAGAGAGGUAUGCGGAAUGCGCGGUGUAGCGGUGAAAUGCAUAGAUAUCGCGCAGAACUCCGAUUGCGAAGGCAGCAUGCCGGCUCCACACUGACGCUGAGGCACGAAAGCGUGGGUAUCGAACAGGAUUAGAUACCCGUGUAGUC
rnacentral:rRNA from 1 species